UACGGGGGGGCAAGCGUUGUUCGGAAUUACUGGGCGUAAAGGGCUCGUAGGUGGCCAACUAAGUCAGACGUGAAAUCCCCCGGCUUAACCGGGGAACUGCGUCUGAUACUGGAUGGCUUGAGUUCGGGGAGAGGGAUGCGGAAUUCCAGGUGUAGCGGUGAAAUGCGUAGAUAUCUGGAGGAACACGGUGGCGAAGGCGGCGAUCCUGGACCGACACUGACGCUGAGGAGCGAAGCCAGGGGAGCGAAACGGG
rnacentral:rRNA from 1 species